UAUUAUCUAGGCGGGUAUUAGCGCGUUAGGUUUAGAACCUAAAUUUGGUGUAAACCAGAUAAUAA
rnacentral:tRNA from 1 species